rnacentral:rRNA from 1 species
AUUGAACGCUGGCGGCAGGCUUGACACAUGCAAGUCGAGCGGGGUGAUGGUGCUUGCACUAUCACUUAGCGGCGGACGGGUGAGUAAUGCUUAGGAAUCUGCCUAUUAGUGGGGGACAACAUCUCGAAAGGGAUGCUAAUACCGCAUACGUCCUACGGGAGAAAGCAGGGGAUCUUUAUGACCUUGCGCUAAUAGAUGAGCCUAAGUCGGAUUAGCUAGUUGGUGGGGUAAAGGCCUACCAAGGCGACGAUCUGUAGCGGGUCUGAGAGGAUGAUCCGCCACACUGGGACUGAGAAACGGCCCAGACUCCUACGUGAGGCAGAAGUGGGGAAUAUUGGACAAUGGGGGGAACCCUGAUCCAGCCAUGCCGCGUGUGUGAAGAAGGCCUUAUGGUUGUAAAGCACUUUAAGCGAGGAGGAGGCUCUUUUGGUUAAUACCCAGAAUGAGUGGACGUUACUCGCAGAAUAAGCACCGGCUAACUCUGUGCCAGCCGCCGCAGUAA